CACGUAGGGUGCGAGCGUUGUCCGGAAUUAUUGGGCGUAAAGAGCUCGUAGGCGGUGUGUCGCGUCGGCCGUGAAAACCUGCAGCUUAACUGUGGGCUUGCGGUCGAUACGGGCAUCACUGGAGUUCGGCAGGGGAGACUGGAAUUCCUGGUGUAGCGGUGAAAUGCGCAGAUAUCAGGAGGAACACCGGUGGCGAAGGCGGGUCUCUGGGCCGAUACUGA
rnacentral:rRNA from 1 species